rnacentral:lncRNA from 1 species
GCAAGAGAAUGUAAUACAUCAGAUGCCUUUUAAAGAUGAAUAUUGAGCGUAUUGAUCCAGAAAAUAAUUUAUCAAAGCUGUUAUUCUCUAAGUUUGAAUACCAAACUACUAAUACGAUUGUCAUUAUUUGGUGGGAUUUUCAAUAGAUGUUCAAUUGCAUCAAACACAGUUCAACCAAGAGAGAAAUUAUAUUGCUGUCAGAGUUAUUCUUCUUAAUUUCUCUAUUGGGAACAAAAAGCCCCAUUAAACGUGGAAAUGUUGUUAUCUAUUUUAUUCUCAUUAUAAUUGAGUACUACAUAAAUUAGAUAAUGAGUUCCAAGGGUUUAAGGAAUCAUACAUG